rnacentral:lncRNA from 1 species
CCCACCCCCCCAUCCCCCCCCCCCCCCCCCCGUCAAGCCUUUGGCAUCAUUAUCCUCAUCACUAAAUCCUACAGAGUACAGGGCGGAAAACGGUGCACAC